GGAAAACAAGCCCACACGUCUCUCUCAGAGCUCUCUCGCUGUAGAGGUGACCAAAACCUGACUCAAAGUCGAUUAGAAGAAAAAUAAAAGGAAUUCACUGGCUCAUGGAAUUCGUAGAAAAAUUGUGCUGACCUUGCCCUAGACCAGUCAUGGUAAACAAGAAGACAGGACACUCUGUUUGGAUCUGAAUCAUGCGCCCACACCUAGGAGACAGACAAGGUCUAUUUGUAAAUAUUCCUAACUCCACCUGUACCGUAACCUUGGGUGAUCUGCAGAAGCUAGAGCCCUUAACCAUGGAGCUACUCAUGCACCUAGCCCAAGACUCAGAGCAGAUGAAGGAGGAGCUCAUGCAGGUCCGAGUGCUGCCCCUGCCAAUAAGUGAGCCAGCCGACUCAAUGUCAUGAACUGCCACUGUGCCUGGCACCCAGCUGUGACUUUCAG